GACGAACGCUGGCGGCGUGCUUAACACAUGCCAGUCGAACGGAAAGGCCCUGCUUUUGUGGGGUGCUCGAGUGGCGAACGGGUGAGUAACACGUGAGUAACCUGCCCUUGACUUUGGGAUAACUUCAGGAAACUGGGGCUAAUACCGGAUAGGAGCUCCUGCUGCAUGGUGGGGGUUGGAAAGUUUCGGCGGUUGGGGAUGGACUCGCGGGUUAUCAGCUUGUUGGUGGGGUAGUGGCUUACCAAGGCUUUGACGGGUAGCCGGCCUGAGAGGGUGACCGGCCACAUUGGGACUGAGAUACGGCCCAGACGCCUACGGGAGGCAGCAGUGGGGAAUAUUGCGCAAUGGGCGGAAGCCUGAUGCAGCAACGCCGCGUGCGGGAUGACGGCCCUCGGGUUGUAAACCGCUUUCGCCUGUGACGAAGCGUGAGUGACGGUAAUGGGUAAAGAAGCACCGGCUAACUACGUG
rnacentral:rRNA from 1 species